AGAGUUUGAGUCCUGGCUCAGGAUAAACGCUGGCGGCGCGCAUAACACAUGCAAGUCGAGCGAGAGGAGUAGCUUCGGUUACAAAGUCUAGCGGCGGACGGGUGAGUAACACGUGGACAACUUGUCUUGUAGAGGGGGAUAGCCGGAAGAAAUUCCGAUUAAUACCGCAUAAUGUGAUAGUGUUGCAUGACAUUAUCAAGAAAGAUGCAAAUCGCUAUAAGAGAGGUCUGCGACUGAUUAGCUAGUUGGAGUGGUAACGGCACACCAAGGCAACGAUCAGUAGCCGGUUUGAGAGAAUGAACGGCCACAUUGGGACUGAGAUACGGCCCAGACUCCUACGGGAGGCAGCAGUGGGGAAUAUUGCGCAAUGGGGAAACCCUGACGCAGCGACGCCGUGUAAGGGAAGAAGGUUUUCGGAUCGUAAACCUAUAUCGAUUGUGAAAAGUAAGGAUGGUAGCAAAGUAAGAAGCCCCGGCUAACUACGUGCC
rnacentral:rRNA from 1 species